rnacentral:rRNA from 1 species
UCAGACACGUCAGAGUUUGAUCCUGGCUCAGGAUGAACGCUAGCGAUAGGCUUAACACAUGCAAGUCGAGGGGAAACGGCGGAGGAGCUUGCUUCUUCGGACGUCGACCGGCGCACGGGUGAGUAACGCGUAUCCAACCUGCCCCGGUCUGCGGGAUAACCCGUCGAAAGACGGACUAAUACCGCAUGGGGUUCCCUGAGGGCAUCUGACGGGAACUAAAGAUCGAUCGGACCGGGAUGGGGAUGCGUCUGAUUAGCUCGUUGGCGGGGUAACGGCCCACCAAGGCAACGAUGGGUAGGGGAACUGAGAGGUUUAUCCCCCACAUUGGUACUGAGACACGGACCAA